AUGCCCCUGCUCCACCUCACUCCUCCUUCGAAUUCGGCCGUCGAAGUGCUCGAGGAGGCGGUCGAGCUUGGCAUGCUCGCCGGUGACGCCGGCCCCUUACCGCACACGCCGGCUGCCGACCUCUUAGGCGGGCGGCGCACGCCGACCCCAGGAAGAGAGAAGUUCCCGUCCCCAUGGAGAAGCUGUCCACGGAUCCAAAUCUGGAAGCAGAAAGAAAAGAACCUGAUCUUGGAUUUCUUCACUUGCGUUAUUCAGAGUCAUCCUAAUCCACCAUACGUUCCCUUAUUCAACUGGAUGACCGCAGAGACGGGGGAAGGCGGGGUGGUGUUGUGCUGGUGGCCACCGGGAGCUUCAACCUUCCCACCUACAUGCACAGGCAUGUUUGAGGUUGCGAAGGAUGAGUUGCAGCAGCGAGGGUAG
rnacentral:rRNA from 1 species